GGUUGCAUGGUGUAGCGGUUAGCACGUCUGCUUUAUACGCAGAAGGUCCUGGGUUCACACCCCGGUGGAGUCA
rnacentral:tRNA from 1 species